UGUUGUGGAUUUUAUCCCGCAAGUGUACGGAUCGUAACAAGUAGUAAAGUGGACCUUUUGAGUCCGGAUUAUCGUUCCCACGAGGACUAUACUUCAAUACUCAAUUUAUUAUUCCUAACUUCUAUUUGACGAAAAUAAACGAGAAAAGUGAUUGGUUGUGACUUUUAAAUCUAGCUACUUAAAAAUGUGCGAAUUGAUGCAACAGAAAAUGAUCGAGAGUUCAAAUAAUAAAGGGACUUUAGGGCGGAACAAUUUCACUUAAUGGUCACCUUUACUUCGUAAAUCAAGAUUCAUAUAACCUAAAGUAAUGUUCGAUCGAAUUCUUCUAUGGUAUUCAACUUACCCCUCUCGAGUUCUCGUUGAGCCUAUUUAAUUAGUUCAAUUCCAUAUCUCUAUGCAAAUUAAAAUUAAUUAAACGCAACACUGGUUCUAAGAAUUCACACACGACCGCAGCAAUCAACAUAAGUAUCUCUACACGUUAUAUCGAUUUACCGGCUUUUAACAUGUGGUCUAAACAAAUAAUCCGCAUCUCUAUUGAAUCAUCGCUCACAAAUCAUUUAAUUAGUGAUCAAGUAAUUAAAAGCAUUAAGCACCACAUUAAAAUCAACGCAUAAGAUAUAAAAGCACUAGAAUCUUAAAUCAACGAAAUAAAGGGUUCCAAAUAAAUUACGUUGUUCGCCCUAAAUUAAAUUUAGCUAUUCAUAAUAAUGGAAGAAACACAAGAUAAAAUAAUGGAAUAUAUCACCGGGAUUAAUUGACGAAACGCGAAUGAAAUUUCAAUUUUACUCCAGUCGACAGCUUCAAUGUUUGGAGUCCAAUUCUGCCUCGGUUUCCUAUGCGUCAGCUUCAAUGUUUGGAGUCCAAUUCUUCCUCGGUUUCCUAUGCGUAUAAGUGAUAAAUUCCAGCAAUUUCUGAGCUUCUCUGUGUGCCUCUCCUCAAUUUCUGUGAGUGCCUCCAAUAUUUAAUUGUAAUCCCAGCUGGAACUUCUCAAUUCUGCCUCCUCAAGCUGCCGUCUUUACGUGUGUAUGUAAAUAUAUUAAUUGCCGGCAGCUUCAAUUCUUGCCUCCAAAUCUACUUUCAGCUUCCCUCUAUGCUUUACACGUUUCUCAAUUGAUUUAUCCAAUUGUGUGUCGGGCCUUCUUCCAAUUAAUCCUAGCAGUCCGCAAUUGAAUUUUUGUCCAGCCGUUAGAAAUUCUUCCGAAGUGUUGUAUUUGGCCGGCUGCAGUUCUCCUUCCAGAAAGUGCGUUUUGCUAGCUGCAAGGGGUAAAUAUAUAUGUAUGUAAGUCCAAUUUCCAGCAACCAAUUGCCCCAGGUUGUCUCCCCAAUUCCACCUCUCCAAUUCGUUUGUAUCUCUCCCGAUUUUCUGUGCUAUUGAGCCUCAAUAAUUGACCCCAAAGUGGAGUCCAAUUUGCUCCCUAGUUCGGCUCUCCCCUCCUCGGCGUGUAAAUGGUGUAUAUAUAUAUAAAAUAAAACCUAGCAGCCACCGAAAAUCACUUUCACUUGGACUUUUUAAUUUCACUUUGCAUGCAUGCGGGUCCUUCUAGGUCAAGAAGUUCAAUCAGCAGCCCACUUGAAUUGUUUAAGUCCCAUAUAUGAUAUGUAUUUCAAUUGCCAUUCAAUUUCAGCCCACGUGGAAGUCUAGUUGAGGCCCAUUUAUAGUGUUUGCUUCCAAGUCCUUAAUUUUCAAGAUAAUGAAUUUUGAUUUCCAAACUUUGCAUCAAAUAGCCAAUUUAGUCCUUGUACUUGAAUUUUGCCACUUUUCGCCCAUUUUUGCUUCUUCUCUUCAACUCCCUUUUUGAUCGUGAAAUAUAUCUAUUAAGCAUAAAAUAAAAAAAAUAGGAUAUAAUUUGUUAAAAGGACCACAAAAUAUUGUCAUUUUAAGCACCCGAAUAAGUGUAUAAAAUACGCUUAUCAAAUACCCCCAAACUUAAAUAUUUGUUUGUCCUCAAACAAAACUAUAACCUAAAUAACAACAAACACACAAGCAUGCAAAAAAUAUUUGGUUGGACAGUCUAGCAUUUUAUCACAAGAUUUGAGAUUAUCGAAUUAAAUUUACAAAUCGCUUCAAAGUCACAAUACUAAAUCAAUAUCCACUCUUCCAAUGCAAAAUCGACGUGUGUGUGUGAAGAAUUAAGUAAUCAACCAUGACUACACAAGUUGUUUCUAUUCCCAACCCUCUAUGGUCAAAUAUAUCCUUACAUUUCUCGUUUGAUUCACACGCUCCCAAACUUACUUUUUUUUCACUCUUUUCCCAGUGUGUAACUUAAGGUUGAAUAUUUCAUUACUAUCCUCACCCUCUCGAGUUUGCGUAGACGUUACAAGUUACAAGUCAAUACUUCAAUGAACAUGGAUUCUUCAAUUAUUUGAUUGCUUCGACCUCCAAGACUCAAUUAGGCUAAUUAUCUUUUAUCGAAAGUCAAAUUCCCUCAAAUAGGUGUUGGGACUUAACCAAGGUAUUUAGUGUUUUUGCUCUUUUCAUGCACUUGCUUUUUUUCUUUUUCAUAAUUAAUUUUUUUAUUUUCUCUCCAUUAAGCUUUCUAGAUGACCCAUGUAGCAGGCUUUAGGCCGAUGACUCCCAAAUCAGAUGAUUUUAGGGCACCAGGUUUUAAACACCCUUACAGACUUACUGACCUGAGUCAAAAAGGCUUCGAAGAGAACAAUUUUUUUUUUUUUUUAAGUGCAACUUCAUCUCUGAUUGCUUUCUAAAUGACCCUUUUAGCAAGCUUUAGGCCGAUGACUCCUAAGUCAGAUGACUCCCAAGUCAGAUGACUUUAGGGCAUCAGGUUUUAAGAUACCCUUGCAGGCUUAAUUACUCGAGUCAUAAAGGCUUUAGAGAGAAGUUUUAACAUUUUUAAAUGUAUACCUUGAUUAGUGCAAUGUCCCUUAUCAUACACUUAUUCAAGAAAACUGACCUCCAACUCAAAACUUUCACCCAAUUUUAUCCCGUUAGUCUAAGACAAUCCACACAUAAAUUUUCACACAUGGAAUCCAUAUUCACAUCAGCAUCUUCAUACAACUGUAAAGUCGCCCCCAAACUAUACUAAAUUUGGUCUGAGGAUAAAUAAUUCAAUAUGGUUUAGGUAAAGCAUCUAAGUCCAUCUAAAUCAACCUAUCAAACAUGAAACAACUUAUUUCAUCACAAUGUCAAACUCAAUUCUAGUGCGCUUGUAAUAUCAACUUUUGCAAGGUUGAGCUUCAAUUAAUCUAGCAUACAUCUCAUCCAUAAUUCAUAAAUCAAUAUCAAAUCUCCAAUUAAAUUAGCAUAGUCAACCAAACUAUCUAACCCACACAAGCACACAACUGAAUAAUUUUUUUAAAUUUUGAAAAUUUUCGAUUAUUUGUCAUUUUUUUUCUCUUUUUCCUUUUUUUUUUAAAACAAACACACAAUCACAUGUAAACAUAUGAAAAAUAAAAACGAAAAGUAUUUUUUUUUUCACCCCCAAACUUAAAACUGACAUUGUCCUCAAUGUCAUAAAGCAUAAAUAAGCACAUAAAGGGGAUAGG
rnacentral:lncRNA from 1 species